rnacentral:misc_RNA from 1 species
CUCUCCUUGGUGGCGCGUGGACGCUUGCUGUGAGCACAGCUUGCCGUUUGCCGCCGCUCAGCUUCAGAAAGAUCUCGCCGACGUUCUCCUCCGGGCGGUUGGCUUUACCUUCUCCCUGUCGUGCUCUCUUUCUUCUCUGCCCCUGCUCGCUCUGUUGCUCUGCGCGCCCCCUGAUUUCACUGCGCGCGAGCUCCUGCGCCCGCCUUCUCCCUUGCCGCGUUCCUCUGGUGGCCGCGCGCCCUCCAGCCCGGAGCUCUGCGCGCCCAGCCCAGCCACUCGCCAUGGCUCCUCCCUGCGCGCGUCGGAGUUCCUCUGCUCGGCCGCCUGCCAUGGAGCUCGCCCUGCCCCCUGUUUCCAUGACCGGCGUCCCCAAGCUCCUCCCCUGCCGGCGUCCAGCACCCGGCCGGAUCUCUCAUGGUGCGCGUGCCCUUCUCUUGGCGGCGCUCACUUUGUGCUUCUCUCUCUCAGCGCUCGCGGCUCUUUCUCUCCUGCUCCGUCCAUGGCUGUUUGCCUCUGCUCGCGGCGUCCCUGCUCGCCCAGCCGAGCUCUCCACUACCUAGCUCCAUCUCACGGCGCUCUGUCUGCUCGGUUCCAUGGCCGUGGUACUCCAGCUCGCCGUGCCCUGCUUCCUCUGUUUCCAUGGCCAGCUCUCUGCUCAUCGCGCGCGCCUGGACGCUCUCCCUGGUGGCCGCCUGUUCUCCCUGUGUACCGCGCGAGUUCUUUGGUAGACGCGCGCUGGCCGUGCUCCACUUCGCCCAUCGCGGCGCUCCAGUUCCAACUCGCUGCGCGCCGAGCUCUUCGCUGUUGUCCGUGCGCGCGCCGCUCGUCGACCUCUCUCCUCACGCAUAGCUCGCUCUUUCCUUGUUUGCCGCGCGCACGAAUUUCAUCUGCUCGCCACAGCGUGUCGAGUUCCCGCACCAUCAUCGCUUCUAUCACAAGCUCGUUGGCCACAUUUAUCUUGACCGUGUCAGCUCACGACUGUGGUCGUGUUCAUCGAAUUCGCCAACGCUUUGUUGCCGAUUCGACGGUCGUCGUUUCGCGUGUUGUCGAGCCCGUCGUUUUCCCUGUCUUGUACUCGCGUGGUUUUCUGCUCGCCGGUGCGCCCUCUCGGCUCGCUCGGCUUUAAUUCCCAAUCGCGUCGUCGAUUCCGCCGGUUAGCGUCGUUCGUCGUCGCGUCGCGGGUGCAGCUCUAUAUACGUCACCCUCCUGUGUCGUCGUCGUUCCACGCGUCAGCAAGAAGACCCAAGAAUCGGGUGAAGACGAAGCUAGCAGCGCGAUAUUCCCCAAGCGCUAGACAAAUUGGUUGGAUCGGAAAAUCGCUACCGAUCUCGCGGAUUCGUGUCAUCUGUGGAAACGGUGUGAUAAUUAAUCACGUGAUGCGGAAGACGACCCCAAGUCGACCCCAAGCGCUGGUUAUUCCGCAUGGUGAUACUGAUGGACGAAUCUGAAGAUGGAUAAUCUGAACGAGUGCGUGCCAGGACAAAGGAUGGUCGUCAAGUGGACGUCACCUAACAACACUAACCUAGUGUUACCCAGGCAAGCCCCGGUGCAUGCAACCCCUUCCUUGUGUUUUUAAAUAAUUUUUACACAAUUUAAGUCUAGUGAAAUGUGCAUUAGGUUUAUAGGAGUUGCUUGGAACCCUUUGAUGCAUUGCCUUCCUUGAUAUCCAUACCUUUAUAGAUACUUCUGGUGAAGUAUCAAAAUAUGAUUUACAAAAAUGCUUAGCUCUGCUCAGAUCUUGUGGAUAGAGGUUGUCUUUUUGCAUUAAGGCCUAGCUCAGGGGUUAUCCUGAGGAAAGAUGGCUUCUACCUGCAAGAAUAUUUUCAUUGAGAGCGUGGUGGGAUCUUACUGCAAAGUUCCCUUUGAUGCUCUUUUCAUCCUAGGAACAUAAACAAUCCUAAGGAUGGAAGUACUUAAAUCGGGACUUGGGCUAGGAACAGGUGAUGUUCUACCCAGGUUAGUUAAGGAUUGGAUGCGUAUGUAGGCCUGUUGAUCAAGGACUAUCUUAACUAGCCACAUGCCCCUGGAAAUGGGACAGGGUAAGCUUGAACCCGGCUAUUCCAUACAUGAAAAGACAAUCGCGCACUGGGAGUGGAGAGAUGGCGAGAGUGGCACGUACCCUCCUGGCAAAGGACCG